rnacentral:rRNA from 1 species
UACGAAGGGUGGAAGCGUUACUCGGAAUUACUGGGCGUAAAGGGUGCGUAGGUGGUUUGUUAAGUCUGCUGUGAAAUCCCCGGGCUCAACCUGGGAAUGGCAGUGGAUACUGGCAAGCUAGAGUGCGGUAGAGGGUAGUGGAAUUCCCGGUGUAGCAGUGAAAUGCGUAGAGAUCGGGAGGAACACCAGUGGCGAAGGCGGCUACCUGGACCAGCACUGACACUGAAGCACGAAAGCGUGGGGAGCAAUCAGG